UCUCCUCUGUAUUUUCCCUCUCAGGCUCACUGUUCGCCUUUUGACAAUCGCCGAAACCAUCAUGAUGGAAUGGAGUGGAAUGUGCAGCCUUUCCGUUUUCCUUUUUAAAAAGAUCGUCAGGAGAAAGAACUAUGGACCUUACCUCUUCCUGUCCACCCUCUGCAAGGAAGCUUUCCCUCUCUCCCAGCACUGUAAUACCUGCAUCAGGCAGGUUAGACAUGCUGCCAUUUUACCAGGAAAUGUUGACAAACCUCUAGCAGAAUGCGACCGGAUAUCUCUUCCCCUCAUGGGCGAAGCCAGGCAAGUUGGAGCUGAGAAAGCGUGCGUGGCCCUAACGUUACCCUGACAUUUGUUACCUCACUCUGAGAAUGCUUAAUAUUCUGGUUUCUUUCCCCCCAAUGUAGCUAUACUCAGUGAUAUUGUUAAAAAUGGUUCCCAGUUUUAGAAAACUGUUAUCUAUAAGAAUUCUCUGAGAAGCUGCAAAAAAGAUAUCAUGGCAAUUUAUGGGGUUUGGCUACUUUUCUGGAACCAAAGUUCUGCUGCAUUUGUUCUUGAGCUUUUUUUUUGAUCAGAGAAAGAGCGCAGACGUCGGUCACAGAAUCCUGAUGCCACAAUCUGUGUGACCUACAGAGAGCUACCUAACCUCUCUGGGCCAGAAGGCUCUAAACUGUAACACUGUUUUGCAUGCACAGUGGGAAGCACGAGCAUCAUCUAUGGGAAUCAUGAGGACCGCGUGGGAUACGGUAAAAGCCUCGCGUAGAGUGGCUGGCACAGAGUAGGGCCUCAUUAUCACGAUUUCCAUGCCUUAAGUUAAUUGGCGGAAGGAGCAUCUCCUCUUCCUUCUCUGGUUUCUGUCCUGCUGUGGUGGCUCUCGACGGGCACUUCAUGUCUGUUAUCCCAUUUAUCCUCCCAACAGCCCCGUGAGGUAGGUGUCGUCAUUAUCCCAUUUUACAGCUGGGGAACUCAGAACGCAGGGACUGGUGGCAGCUUACUCACCAUUUCUGGCAGAAAUAAGCAGACGAGGGUGGGAUUUCAAGUUCAAGAGCCUUCUUUUUUUUUUUUUUCUUCCCUCCCCUGAAACUCAACCAAAAGUUUUCCCUACUACUGCAAUCUAUGUGCAUUACUAUCAGCCUGCAGAAUAUUUGCCCACUUGAACCGCGUGUCUUUUGGUAGGGAACGCUAAUGACCAGGCGAAGGGGGAUUGGUCUAACGCUAUGGGCAUAGCCGGUUUCAUUGCAUUUGCUGCAUUGCGCCUUGCAGAUGUUGCGGGAUUUUGUUUGUAUGUGUGUGUGUGUGUGUGUGUGUGUGUGUUUUGUUUUGUUGGGUGUUUUUGUUUUGUUUUGUUUUUACACAAGGAGGGCAUAUGGCAAUCCUGUGUUGAGCAGAUUUGUUGGCACUGUGUUUACAAAAGCAUUUGCUUACCUUGUGUCUCUGUGUCACAUUUUGGUAAUUCUCACAGGAUUUCAGGCUUUUUCACUAUUAUUAUAUGUGUGGGGAUUAUCUGUGAUCCAGUGCCAGUAUAAGAUGGUGAACUUGACUGAUAAGUGUUGUGUGUCUUUUGACUGUUGCACCAACCGGCAGUUUCUCCACCUCUCUUUCCUUCUUUGGGCCCCCCUAUUCCUUGAGACACAGGACUAUUGGAACUAGGCUGGUUAAUAACCCUAUAAUGGUCUCUAGUGUUUGAGUGAAAGGCAUAGUCCCAUCUCUCAAUUUAAAUCAAAAGCUAGAAAUGGUUAAGCUCAGUGAGGAAGGCAUGUCAAAAGCCAAGACAGGCCAAAAGCUAGGUCUCUUACACCAAAAAAGUUAGCCAAGUGGUGAAUGCAGCAGAAAAGUUCUUGAAGGAAAUGGAAAGUGCUGCUCCAGUGAACACACAAAUGAUAAGACAGGGAAACAACCUUCUGGCUGAUAAGGAGAGAGUUUGAGGGGUCUGGACGGAAGAUCAAACCAGCCCCAAUAGUCCCCUAAGCAAAGCCUAAUCCAGAGCAAGGCCCUGAGUCUCUUCAAUUCCGUGAAAUCUCAGGGAGGUGAGGAAGCUGCAGAAGGAAAGUUGAAAGCUAGCAAAGGUUCAUUCGUGAGGUUUAGGGAAAGAAGCCGUCUCCAUAACACCCAAGUUCAAGGUGAAGCAGCAAGUACUGAUGUAGAAGCUGCAGCAUGUUUUCCAGAAGAUCUAGCUAAGGUGGUUG